AACAGGAGAGGUGAAAUUAGCCUUAAUCACAUCCUGAUAUUAAUUAAUGCAUAGUUUAUAAAAUAACUCACAUUGCCCAAAUGCUGUGCUUUUCAGCCUCAACAUGCAUGGAAAAUUCUUACACUGGGUUGUUCAGUCUACCUCCUUUUCUGGGUGAUGGUAUUAAUUGCUUUACCCCUGUUUCCCAAAGUACAAUGGAAUGAUAACAUUCUCUCCUCAAUUUCAGGAUCUCAGAGGAAGUUGGGACAGGUUCCAUUGGGUUGGGAUGAAAACUGUCUUCCUUUAUGCUCCCAUGGUCUCUGAGUGCUCUGCUUGAACAAAUGAAUCAAGUAAAUUAUGAAGAGAUGAAUUAUAUUGUGGAUGAGAAUCAAAAUAUCUGGGUUUAAGUCUUGAAUUGAGAUAAUAUGAGCUGCAAGAACUUAACCAAGUCUCUACACUUCUCUGACCCUCUGCUUCCUUAUCCACAAAAUGGUUAGAUAAUAGUUAACUCUUUGGGGGUUACUGUCACGAUUGAAUGUGCAGUGCCCAUAGGCAGUUCUAAAAAUAGUUUCUCUUUCAUUCUAUCACUUGGAAAAUUUUUAAUAUGUCAUUUUAGUCAAUGCUUUGAAGGAACUAAUGUGUCAGUUAAUAACAACUUAGUGAUCAAUUCCACCCUGCACAUCCCCGAAGCAGGGCUGUAGGUCUCUGAGAAGACAGUACUGCAUCAAAGUCUGUUUACCAGUCCUUACCACAGCACAUGUAAAUAUGUUUGAAAUAGGGUCAGCCACUAUCUUAAACAAGUGAAUAUAUUUAAAAUGAUUUAUUAAAGUACCAUUAGAUGCUUCUCAGUGACUAAAAAGGCCUCUCAAUUUUGACAUGUUUGACAACUUUUAGUUCAGAAGCGAGAUGGUACUGUCUUACAGAGGGGCAGGCAGGUGAACUUAUCGGUGUAGCAGAGGCUCAUACAGGUACCACUUCAAAGACUUCUACAUCCCUGUGACUCUCAUUUUUGUAUGCAAAGAUUGGUCUUGGGCUCAUCUUCAGACACCAGGAAUCACAUGAAAAUGGCUACACAAGGAGAAAUUGUGCUGAUGAAGCAAGCCAUGGCCUCGUCACAAUACCAGCUGUGGCCUGGGUCUGUGCCCUGGCUUGGUAGGUGUGACUCACUGAUGCUUAGAGUUAGAAUGUACGAUUUUUUAAAAGUUAACUUUAAGACAUAGGUUCUUAUUUAUAUUUUUUUCUCUUUCUCUUCCAACUUUGACUCUAUAAAUAAAAAAGAAAAGGUGAAAAUCUCAACGCUGG
rnacentral:lncRNA from 1 species